GAUGAACGCUGGCGGCGUGCCUAAUACAUGCAAGUCGAGCGAACAGACGAGGAGCUUGCUCCUCUGACGUUAGCGGCGGACGGGUGAGUAACACGUGGAUAACCUACCUAUAAGACUGGGAUAACUUCGGGAAACCGGAGCUAAUACCGGAUAAUAUAUUGAACCGCAUGGUUCAAUAGUGAAAGACGGUUUUGCUGUCACUUAUAGAUGGAUCCGCGCCGCAUUAGCUAGUUGGUAAGGUAACGGCUUACCAAGGCAACGAUGCGUAGCCGACCUGAGAGGGUGAUCGGCCACACUGGAACUGAGACACGGUCCAGACUCCUACGGGAGGCAGCAAUAGGGAAUCUUCCGCAAUGGGCGAAAGCCUGACAGAGCAACGCCGCGUGAGUGAUGAAGGUCUUCGGAUCGUAAAACUCUGUUAUUAGGGAAGAACAAAUGUGUAAGUAACUAUGCACGUCUUGACGGUACCUAAUCAGAAAGCCACGGCUAACUACGUG
rnacentral:rRNA from 1 species